UACGAAGGGGGCGAGCGUUGUUCGGAAUUACUGGGCGUAAAGGGCGCGUAGGCGGCCGAUCAAGUCAGAUGUGAAAGUCCUGGGCUUAACCUGGGGACUGCAUUUGAUACUGAUUGGCUUGAAUGCAGGAGAGGAUAGCGGAAUUCCCAGCGUAGAGGUGAAAUUCGUAGAUAUUGGGAAGAACACCGGUGGCGAAGGCGGCUAUCUGGACUGUGAUUGACGCUGAGGCGCGAAAGCGUGGGGAGCAAACAGG
rnacentral:rRNA from 1 species